rnacentral:lncRNA from 1 species
AAGUUAUAGAGGAGGAGACCGAGGCCCCAGGCCAGUGGCAGACCUGAGCGGCCUCCAUAUGGUCCUUGGCCUAGUCACCUCCCCUAGAGGACAGGCAUAGCUUUUAUAAUGUCUCCAGCUCAUCUCCCCCAGUGGCCUCCCUCUUCUGAUUUCCCAACUCCUUGGUGGAGAAGGAGGGGCCAAGGUGGAGUGGGCGGAGACAGAAGAAGCCACCAGAGGAUGUAGAAAGGACACCCUGCCUCCAGCCCAGGGCUGCUGACUUCCAGACUAGGCAGCUCCCAAUCCCUCCCACAUCUGGCCAGCUCCCUGGCUCCAGGCACAUUCCCACGGACACGUGCCCGAGUUCCCCAGAGGACCGGAGCCCAGGCCCCAGGCUGCCCCUGCCAGCGUCAUCAGAACCCACCCUCACAUCCACACCCACACCCCCUCCUCUCUCAACGGGCUGGCCCGAGGCUCGGGGAUAGCUCCGUGGGAUGGGCUGCAGGAGGGAGGGGGCACCUGGCCUCCUCCUGCAAGAAGCCCUCCGAGAAUGGUAUAUUUUUCCCCCACCCCACCCCUCCUCUCAAAGC